rnacentral:rRNA from 1 species
UACGAAGGGGGCUAGCGUUGUUCGGAAUCACUGGGCGUAAAGCGCACGCAGGCGGAUUGAUAAGUCAGGGGUGAAAUCCCGGGGCUCAACCUCGGAACUGCCUUUGAUACUGCAAAUCUCGAGUCCGAUAGAGGUGGGUGGAAUUCCUAGUGUAGAGGUGAAAUUCGUAGAUAUUAGGAAGAACACCGGUGGCGAAGGCGGCCCACUGGAUCGGUACUGACGCUGAGGUGCGAAAGCGUGGGGAGCAAACAGG